rnacentral:rRNA from 1 species
AACGCGAAGACCCUUACCUGGUCUUGACAUCCACGGAAUUAGGCAGAGAUGCCUUAGUGCCUUCGGGAACCGUGAGACAGGUGCUGCAUGGCUGUCGUCAGCUCGUGUUGUGAAAUGUUGGGUUAAGUCCCGCAACGAGCGCAACCCUUAUCCUUUGUUGCCAGCGGUCCGGCCGGGAACUCAAAGGAGACUGCCAGUGAUAAACUGGAGGAAGGUGGGGAUGACGUCAAGUCAUCAUGGCCCUUACGACCAGGGCUACACACGUGCUACAAUGGCAUAUACAAAGAGAAGCGACCUCGCGAGAGCAAGCGGACCUCAUAAAGUAUGUUGUAGUCCGGAUUGGAGUCUGCAACUCGACUCCAUGAAGUCGGAAUCGUUAGUAAUCGGGAUCAGAUUG